rnacentral:rRNA from 1 species
GAAUAUUGGACAAUGGGCGCAAGCCUGAUCUAGCCAUGCCGCGUGUGUGAUGAAGGCCUUAGGGUCGUAAAGCACUUUCGCCAGGGAUGAUAAUGACAGUACCUGGUAAAGAAACCCCGGCUAACUCCGUGCCAGCAGCCGCGGUAAGACGGAGGGGGUUAGCGUUGUUCGGAAUUACUGGGCGUAAAGCGUACGUAGGCGGAUCAGAAAGUUGGGGGUGAAAUCCCAGGGCUCAACCCUGGAACUGCCUCCAAAACUAUCAGUCUAGAGUUCGAGAGAGGUGAGUGGAAUUCCGAGUGUAGAGGUGAAAUUCGUAGAUAUUCGGAGGAACACCAGUGGCGAAGGCGGCUCACUGGCUCGAUACUGACGCUGAGGUGCGAAAGCGUGGGGAGCAAACAGG